CACGUAGUUCUCCACCGGGAGGUCAUCUUUCUGGUCAUCAGAACUCCUUGUGUCCUGGUUGUGAGAACACCAAAUAGUAACCACUAAGAGUGCCCUGUGUCCUGGGUGCCGGGUCAGGCACUCUCCCUGGGAUCUCUGACUGGAUCCUUACGUCGAGUCUCUAAGCUCAGGGGACAGCAACACUCACAGGCACAGCCCUCCCUGUUACCCCUGGACCACAUCUCAGUGACCUCAUGAAGAGCCAAGACCAAAGCCCAGAGUCACAGACACCCUGGACUCACAGCCUCACAGUGGUCAGUGCCUGGAGUAGGGGCUUCUAGCCCUCAGGGCAGAGCCUGCUCCUGCCCAGCCAUGGCACCCACUGGGGCAGCCAGGCCUCUCCUUCCUGGGCCCUCCUCACCACUUCUACUCACAUGGCUGCCUGAGGGGUUCAUGUUGGCUCGAGCAGGCUGCGUCUCCACACCGGUGGGUUUCUUCCCCGAAGUGCCCUGCCAGAAACAUCGUCAGUCGGCUCACUACCCUCUCCACAGCCCACAGUCCAUUGGUACUGCCGUUAAACAAUCAUCAAAAGGUAUGUUGAUACAUGUGUGAAUGCAUAUGGGGGGUGUGUGUGUGUGUGUGUGUGUGUGUGUGUGUGUGUGUUGCUGAGGAUCAAACCCAGGAUCUCACUUUUGCUAAGCACGCACUGGAUGACAGAGCUACAGACCAUCCCCACGGUCUAUGCUGCAUCUGUCACUUAGAAGUCUAACGUUUCCCAGCGAAGCCUGUAGAGAACUAAGAUCUGCUGUCUGGCCUGGCUUCUGUGGCCUCUGAGACCAACUUUGGCUUCCUGUGCCAGUUCAGGCCUUUAGUUAUCUGGGCUACUGAGCAGGGCGCCCUGAGGCAUCUUUUCUCAGGCACUCACCCAGGAGGUACAGAGCAUCCUUCCUCCCUGCUCCUCUGAGCUGUGGCCCACCAGGCAAGGUGCACCAGGCGAGGUAGGUGCAGACUUCGGAAGGCCUGGCAGCAGGUGGCUUGCUCACUUCUGGGCAGUGCAGGAAGCAGAGCAAAGCGAAUCCUUCCUGUCUCUCCUUUUAUUUAGUCUGUGAGCCCAGCCCAUGGGAAGCUACCAUCUCCAUCUAUGAUGGAUCUUCUCUAAUCAACUAGCCCUCUCUGGAAGCACCCUCUGAGACACCCCCAAGGACACACCUCAUUAAUUUUGUAGGUGUUUAUUAAUCCAAUGAAGCUAACAAUGUGUUAUCACAAGUCUCAGUGUUGCCAACUUGAUACAUAAACACAUCACCUAAAACUACAACAUUCUGCCCCCGGCCUCACAGAGUCAUGGCCGUCCCUACGUGGAAUGCACACAUUCUGACUUCAACCCCCGACCUAACACCUACAAUUUCUAUUCAAAAAUCAUAAAUCCAAUCAAGGCAUGGUGGCUCACAUUUAUAAAUUCCAGCCCACGGGAGGCAGAGGCAGGCAAAUCUCUGUGAGUUUAAGGCUACCCUGAUAUACAUAGUUAGUUCCAGGACACACAGAGCUACAUAGAGACAGACCCUCCCUGUUUUAACAAAACAAAACAGAACAAAAGGUCCUAAAUUCAGAGCCACUCAGAGUGGCACACUACUAAUCUCAGUACUUAGUAGGCAGGGACAGGCUGAUCUCUUUGAGUUUUAAGUCCAUCCUGGUCUAUAUAGUGAGACCCUGUCUGAAAAAACAAACAGAAAAACAAACAAAAGUCCUUAGUCCAAGGUCUCUUCCGAGACUCAAGGCAAUUUACUAACUAUGAGCCUUUGUACAUUAAAAACACAAGUUACAUACCCCCUAACACACAAUGGCAUAGAAAAAUUAUAUUACCAUUUCAAAAGGGAGGAAUAGGGUAUAGCAAGCAAAGUCCACAGUGAGACUGAAACAACAGGGAGGAUUCCAGCCCUGUCACUCCAGGGCAGCACGUGGGGCUGAUAGGAUCCUGCAGGCCCCCACAGCCUUGCACAGCCCGUCCCCCCAGCUCUGCCAUCUGCAGCACAGCCUUCCCCUAAGAACAGUUCCACUCCGCACUUGUGGCUUUCCCUGGCAGACAUGCUAUGGCCACAGCAUCUCCAAUGUACUGGGGUCUCCAUUACAACUUGGGCUUCCCCUUCACACCUUCACCCAUGGCUUCUUGGGGCUUUCCGCAGGUAAUCCUACUCUGCCGCAUACUUACUGAUUUAUAUGACCUUCUAGAACCCCGAUGAGAGCCUCCAUGACUGCUUCUCACCCUUGAACUUUUCACGGCUGCACAACCAGAGCUGUGUGGAUGCUGCUGCUAAGUUCUGCUACCAGCAUGAGGUAGAGUCUGGUGCUGGGAUUGAACCCAUGGUCUUGGGCAUACUACCCACAGGGCCACACUGGAAGCCAUUAUAACUUUGGUUUUAUACAAGUGUGGUCACUCUCAGUCCUUAUUCCCAAGCAGGUCAACUCUCAGGAUUCAGUGACAGUCUCAGCAUCUCCAUUCAGACACAAAAGAGUAACAAAAUGUCCUCGAGUGGGGAGCAGCUAAGGUUGUCCAAGACACCACAACCUGGGGUCUGGAGCAGCUUCCUGGAUACAGAGACUGAUGGAAAGGCACAGUCCUGACCCCCACACCCGAUGCCUUGCACUCUGAGAGAGACUGAAAGAGCUGCAGUGUUCCUGGGUUUGGGCCCCACCCAGCCCCCCUCCAUCCCAGCAGGGGAGCUGGAGAGGAAGGGCAGAUGGGAGAAACGUUGGAUGUGCGAGAUUUCUUUUACAGUAGACUGGACUUAAAUUCUGUUUGGUUUGGUUUUAGGUUUUGUGGGACUGACCAUUGAACCUGGGACCUCAGGCAGGCUGACAAGUGCUUUACUACUGAGCUACAUCCUCAGCCCUUAGACUGGACUUUCCAUAGCCAAAUCCAAAGGCCUAUUUAUUUGUUUAGUUGAUCCUUAUUGUUAUUUGUGUGUGCAUUUACAUGUAUUGGGGGUACACACAGGUGCGUGGUUCCUGUCCCUGUUAUGUGCACAUGUGUGUAGAAGGCAGAGGUCAACCUCCGAUGUCAUUCACAGGAACUGCUUGCCAUGUUUAUUCGUUUUGAGACAGGGUCCCUAUGUCGGUCGCACUGGCUGGCCUAAAACUAUUCAGACCAGGCUGACUUCAAACUCACAGCUAUCUGCCUGGGAUCAAAGGUGCAGGCCGCUGCAUCCAGCAAGUCAGCUUUACUUUUUGAUAGGAACUUUCAUUCAUACCUGGGGCUCCGUGCAGGCUGGACUGGCCAGACAGCUAGCCCUAGGGACGCUCCCAUCUCUAACUCCUCGGUGUUGUUGGCACAGGGUACCACAUCUGGGUUUCACUUGGGUGCUAACAAUAAAACUCAAGUCAUCACUCUGUAGCCAAGGAUGUCUUUGGAUUCCCAAUCUUCCUGCCUCUACCUCCCGAGUGUGCCACUGUGCCCAGUGGACAAAGGCCUAUUCUUAUCCCUAAGAGAGUAAAGCUGAGAGAUGGAUGGUCCUAGGGCCCUGAGGAGAGUCUACAGACCAGUACCAGGAGGGGGGUAGAGCAUUGCCAAAGCUCCCAUAUAUUUUCUGUGUCUAAGGAAGAGGGUGAGGGUAGGGUGACAGGGCACAGCCUUCUGCAGGUAACUGAGGAGUGAGGCCAGGGAUUGGCUUAUGAAGAUGUAGCCACGUAGCACAGCUGCCUGGAGGGGGAUGGACUUGGGCAAGGCAGUGCAGAGGGAAACACCCUGUCCACCCUGUCCACAAUGUCCCCCAGGAAGGUGGCUCCUGGGCUCCUAGUUCUUUCCCAGAGUCCUGAACAGGCUGGUGAGGCAAUCUGGUGGCAGCAGAGAGGAGAGGCUGAGCAGAGAGCUACAGGCAGCCCCAGCUGCAUCAAGUGGCACUGUCUGCUAAUUGGGAACCAGCAAUUGCACAUUAAGUCUCUUCCUUUCCCGGCCCACUGCCUUUGUUAGUGGUAAUACCAUGACAGCUGUGAUUAAGAGGCAGAACCUUGGCUCUGUGGGUAGUGGGGUGUGUGUUUGUGUGUGUGUGUGUGUGUGUGUGUGUGUGUGUGUGUGUGUGUGUGUGUGUGUGUAUCCUACAGCUGAGGCAUGCUGCCUGAGAAACGAGAAAAUGAGAACAGGUGCCUGUUAUAUUCUCUUAUUCUCUCUCUCUCUUCUCUCUCUCUAAAGUCUCACUCUAUGGCCCAAGCUGUCCUGGAAUUCACUGUGUAGCUUAGGCUGGCCUUAAACUUUUAACAUUUCUCCUGCCUCGGCCUCUUAAGUGCCUGGAUUCUAAUUCUUUAUCUGCCACCAGUGAGUUCUGUGACCUGGGACAGUGCUGACCCAGGUCUGUCAUGGGACUUGGUUUACCUGACGCUGCACAUGUUGGAUACAAAAUACACAGGUUAGAUGAAAGGCUUGGAGUUAGAUGCCCAGCAGCGGGCCAGUUCUCUUAUUUCCAAGAGCCCAGGAAGCAUCUUCCCAUCACAAUGCUCCAGGAAGCUCUGGUCAGAUGCACAAACCUGUGUGGCUGGGUGAAAUGCUUUUAAUCCUAGCACUCAGGAGGCAGAAGCAGAUGGAUUGCUCUGAGUUUGAGGCCAGCCUGGUCUACAUAGUAAGUUCCAAGGCAGCUAUGUAAAGAGCAACAAGACAGGAAUACAUAGAGAGACUCUGUGUAAUACAUAAGCAAACCUGAGUAUGCACACGCCUUACCCAGGAGUGUGUUCAAAGGCAGAGUCACUGGGCAGAGCAGGUGGGCCUGAGCAGUCUGGUCUAAUUCAUGUGGGGAUCUCCUAAGGCAGGAGCUGGAGAGAUGGCUCCACAGUUAAGAGCACUGGCUUCUCUUCCAGAUGACCCAAGUUCAGUUCCCAGCACCCACAUGGCAGCUCACAACUGUCUGUAACUCCAGGUCCAGAGGAUCCGAUGCCUUCUUCUGGCCUCUAUGGGCAAUGCACACAAGUGGUACACAGACACACAUGCAGGCAAAGCACACAUACACAUCAAACCAAAAUAAAUCUAAAAUAUUUCUUUAAAAAUAAAAGGUUGAAAAGCAGU